GAUGAAGAACGCAGCGAAAUGCGAUACGUAAUGUGAAUUGCAGAAUUCAGUGAAUCAUCGAAUCUUUGAACGCAUAUUGCGCUCUCUGGUAUUCCGGAGAGCAUGCUUGUUUGAGUAUCAGUAAACACCUCAACUUCCAUAUCUUUUUUGAAAUGGGAGUUGGACUUGAGUGAUCCCAACGCUUUUCCUCACCGAAAAGUGGCGGGUUACUUGAAAUGCAGGUGCAGCUGGACUGUUCUCUGAGCUAUAAGCAUAUCUAUUUAGUCUGCCUAAAAAACAGAUUAUUACCUUUGCUGCAGCUAACAUAAAGGAGAUUAGUUCUUGUGCUGACUGAUGCAGGAUUCACAAAGACGGCUUCGGCCGACUUUGUAAACUCGAUCUCAAAUCAAGUAAGACUACCCGCUGAACUUAAGCAUAUCAAUAAGCGGAGGA
rnacentral:misc_RNA from 1 species